CGGGGUGAAAUUUAGGUAUUUUUUCUUUUAAUUCAGUGGCUUAGACUUCUAACGGUAUAAGCAUGGGGUGCUAGGGGUCGAGUGUUCGAAUCACUCCGUCCCGACCA
rnacentral:tRNA from 1 species